UCGGACGUGGUGCACGGCGCACACCUGCCUCCAACGUCACUAGGCCAAAGGCCAAAGCAGGCUGGCGACCCGGGUUCCACUCCCGGCGUCCGAA